CGGCGGUGAAGAUGGUUUCACGAACUUUUCGUUUUGACAAGAAGAGAGGGAACAGAGGUGGCUAGGGUUUAUGAUCGAAAACCAAAAAAAAAAAAAAAGAUCUUUCUUUAGUGGUGAUUGGUCGUGACCGUUGGAUGGUAUUCUCGACGGUUUAGAUUGAUUCUGGUUCGAUGGGUCCAAGGCUAUCUUUUUUUCUUUUUUCUCGACUGCGAAUUUUUUGGGUUACACGAAUAUUUAGAAAAAUUUAAACGAAUUUUAAAAACGGAAUGGGCCGAAAUUUUCAAAAGGUGACAACAUGAAAUGACAAGAUUGCCCUCGGGUUUAAAGCGAAAGGUGUCUGAAUCUCAAGUGUUUAAUUACAGUUGUUGGAGGAAUCUCUAGUUGUUAGAGCAUCUCCAAUUGAGAGAGCUCCUCUAUUGGCUCUCUCCAUUUCUUUAUGAUUAAAUUUCACAAAAAGUGAUUAGAGAGCUUUUGUUUUUGUUUUUUUAGGUUUUCAUCUUCCAAUGGUAGG